rnacentral:rRNA from 1 species
UCGGACUGCAGUCUGCAACUCGACUGCACGAAGCUGGAAUCGCUAGUAAUCGCGAAUCAGAAUGUCGCGGUGAAUACGUUCCCGGGUCUUGUACACACCGCCCGUCACACCAUGGGAGUCGGUAACGCCCGAAGUCAGUGACCCAACCGCAAGGAGGGAGCUGCCGAAGGCGGGACUGGUAACUGGGGUGAAGUCGUAACAAGGUACC